rnacentral:lncRNA from 10 species
UUCCGGGUCCUCGAGGGUACAGAGAGCAGAAAUGCCAGAGUCCCGUGCCUGGGAGGGUGGGGCUCCCCUGGCCUCCUGGAGCUUGCAGACAGCCCUGGCCACGCCUCCUCACAGCCUGGGGUAGGGGGUCCGGAUGCUCUGCCUGCCCCUCAGUGCCGGAUUGUGCUGGAGGCAGUUGCUGCAGAUGAGAGCGGCGAUGGGACCAGGGUCCAGAGCAAUGGAGGCUCCGUGCCUGGGAGCGGGUUCUGCCGGCUGCGGAAGGAUAGGGGUGGCACAGUCAGCCGCCUUGGGGACACAGGACAUAGGGGACCCACCACCGCCACUGCCGCUCCCGCAGCAGCUCGUGCCGCCACCACCCACGCCUCCUUGCUGCAGCCAGCGUGACGACAGCGGCUGCUCCGGACCACCCGCAAGCGGCCAUCACGGCAAGGGACUAACCGUCGUGUAACUACUGUCUGCCACAAAAAUCUCUAUUAUUAUCUUUAAAGGGAAACUUCUUCUUAAACUAAAAAUGCUUUUGUUCCUAAUAUAUUGGGACAUCGGGACAUUUCCUGGGUCUGUUGUUUCCUGGGUCUGUUUGGUAAACCUUGUUAACCUGUUCCCUUCACUAUAAACAUCCUGUGACUUAGAAUGCCUAGCCUCUUGGGAAGGCAUCCCAGCAGCUUCCUCAUUUUACCCAGCCCCUGUUCAAGAGGGAGUCUCUCUGGUUCCAACACCUCUGACAGUUUUGAAGAGAAAAAAAUAAUCCUCUUGAAUAAAUCUUCUGAUAAUUCUCACCUAAUGUGAUUGGAAUCUACUGGGCCUACUAGAUGGAGCUUGUUGAAAGAGAGGGGAGCUCUAUGAGCUCCCAAAAUACGUCAAAAAAUAAAAAUUAGAGAACAAAAAGAAAGAUUUCCAAGGGGUGAUAUAAAAUAGGAAUUGGAGGAUGGAGAAACAAUAGCACACCUACCUCUAGAAUUUCAUAAAACCGGGAUAUGAUACCUAGAGAAACUGUUGCAAAUUAUCAAUUUUUAAUUUUCUUUAUUUAAAAGAAAAUCUUUGUAUGUUACUUCUGGGUGAUUCUCAG